GACAGCAGUCGCCACGGUAAUACGGAGGGGGCUAGCGUUGUUCGGAAUUACUGGGCGUAAAGCGCACGUAGGCUGCUUUGUAAGUUAGAGGUGAAAGCCUGGUGCUCAACACCAGAACUGCCUUUAAGACUGCAGAGCUAGAACGUCGGAGAGGUGAGUGGAAUUCCGAGUGUAGAGGUGAAAUUCGUAGAUAUUCGGAAGAACACCAGUGGCGAAGGCGGCUCACUGGACGACUGUUGACGCUGAGGUGCGAAAGCGUGGGGAGCGAACAGGAUUAGAUACCCCUGUAGUCCCUGUCUCUUAUAC
rnacentral:rRNA from 1 species